GCUCUUCACAAGGUCUUGUUUGACCUCAGGCACACCAUGCUGAGGAAUCUGGUGGCAGAGUCCCCAGACACAGACAGGCUCCAAUAUAUCCUGAGGAUCAAUGUUAUUGGAUGUUACCUUUCAGCAACAAGUCAGUUUGCUUCAUGGUACAUGACAGAGAGAGUCCAACAGAGAUGGGUUUGGUGAUUGACACUCAGCUCCUUCUUCACCGAAUGCCUGGGGUUCCUUGAGAGGAACUUUUUUUCCCAACAUGCUUUUUUGGAACUGGCCUUUUAAACCUGGCAGAGCAUCACGGGUGAAGUGCUAAAGAAGGUUUCUUUGUGAUUUGCAGCUGUUGUCUGAAGCUCUCUCCCCCAACACUGUCUAAUCAAUCUGUCAAUCUCAAUGUAAGCACGAUGCAGAGUCCAGCGAUUAAGCCCUGGCAUAGUAAGUGGUUUUCCACAUUUUGGCUCAAAUUUGUCACUUCAACAUGUCUCACACGUGUAACCAGAGAAAAUCAAAUGUUUUACAUCUGCACUUGUGUUGGUUUGUA